rnacentral:rRNA from 1 species
GAUGAACGCUGGCGGCGUGCCUAAUACAUGCAAGUCGAGCGAACAGACGAGGAGCUUGCUCCUUUGACGUUAGCGGCGGACGGGUGAGUAACACGUGGAUAACCUACCUAUAAGACUGGGAUAACUUCGGGAAACCGGAGCUAAUACCGGAUAACAUGUUGAACCGCAUGGUUCAACAGUGAAAGACGGUCUUGCUGUCACUUAUAGAUGGAUCCGCGCCGCAUUAGCUAGUUGGUAAGGUAACGGCUUACCAAGGCAACGAUGCGUAGCCGACCUGAGAGGGUGAUCGGCCACACUGGAACUGAGACACGGUCCAGACUCCUACGGGAGGCAGCAGUAGGGAAUCUUCCGCAAAGGGCGAAAGCCUGACGGAGCAACGCCGCGUGAGUGAAGAAGGUCUUCGGAUCGUAAAACUCUGUUAUUAGGGAAGAACAAGUGUGUAAGUAACUAUGCACGUCUUGACGGUACCUAAUCAGAAAGCCACGGCUAACUACGUG